rnacentral:tRNA from 1 species
GUAAGCAUAGUUUAACCAAAACAUUAGAUUGUGAUUCUAAAGACAGGAGUUUAAACCUCCCUGCUCACC